AGCGUGCCACUGUGCAUUCACAUUUUUCUUUCUGCACGUGUCAGCUCAUUGCUCUUCCUCAGAGCUCUUUUUCUCCGCCAAACCCUGCAAAGCAGACUUUAACCACUCGUUUCCCGAAUGGGGAACUCCACACACAACUUCAUGAAAGCCAGGCUCUCAAGGCACUUCCCAGCUACUGUGCCAGAAUCCUCCCGUCCCUCUGCAACCCGAGGCUAUGGACAAAAGAUUUUGCGACUUUCGAUCAAGACCUGGAGUUGAAGCACACACAGCAGGAGAUGACAUUGUUUCAGACAUAAAAAGCUAGAGCACAUGGCUUUGUUUUAAGCCUUCCCAAGACAGGAGGCUUAUGAAUAGAAGGAAAUCACAUGGAGAUAGCCUUGCUCCACCUGAGGAGGAACAUAUUGGGCACCUGUUGAGUAUGCACCAGCUCCUCAUUCGUACAAGAACUAAUGUAACAGAUCUCCAUGCAAGAAAGGAUUGACAUGCCAAGAAGCUUUAAAAUAAUUAUUCGAACUGCAGAAAGGUCAUUACAACAAAGGAAGCUGAAGACCACUGUGAACUGGAAGUCUGACACAAAGAUUUGUGCCUCGACCUCAUUUUAAAGCUAUCACACUGCCACUGUUGUAGAACGGAAAAUGAUAUUUUCCUUUUCUUUUCAAGCUACAUGUAUACACAUAAAUGUGAGUUGAAUCUUCUUCACAAUCUUUAUCAAUUUUUCAGGGAAACUACACAGUCAUGUUGGCAGAGAAGCUUCUGGCAAGAAUAGGUAACUGAGAGGUCAAACUAUUGGAAGUCAUGCGGGGAUCUGUGCUAGCCACUGUAUUCACAAAUAACCCAGGAAAGGGGGUGAGCUGCAGGAUGACGGCAUUGAGGGUGGCAAGUAGAAGUGCCAAGUGUGAAGAUCUGAAGAAAGAUCUGUGUGACUGAGUGAUAAACCAACAUGAAACUCCAUGUAGGAAAAUCAAACAGAAUGUUCCACAAGAGGAAAUAACCUCUGAGUUUUCCACAUAAAAUAAUAUACUCAGUGGAAGAUGACUUCUUACGAGAGAGAUCUCAGGCUUAUGACAGAUAGUGCCAAGAAAAUGUCAGCUCAGUGUGAAACAAUGCAAGCCAAAGGUUAUCAUGGAUCAGAGAACAAAUUAGAGGAUAUCAUGUUGCCACUGAACAAACUGGUGUUUUGCUCAGCCUUUCAAUACUGUGUGUAAUUCUGAUACUGCCUUUCUAGAGCAGGUAUAAUAGAGUUGGGGUAGGGUAAGUCAAGGAUAUUCAAAGAUAAGGAAUGGUUUCUGUAUAGGGAACUACUUAAUAGAUGGGAUCACCUCAACCUUCAGAAGAGAGAAAUUUAAGGUAUAGUGUAAACAUCAUAGAAUCGUAGAAUCAUACAAUGAUUUGUGUCGGAAGGAACCCUAGACAUCAUCUAAUUACAACCUCUCUGCCACAGGCAGGGAUACCUACCACUAGAUCAGGCUGAUCAAGGCCUCAUCCAAUGUAUCUACUAUGCUUCCUCCAAAUGUUCUCCCAGUUUCCAGUCAUUUGAGGCUCAAAGAGUUCUUGAGCCGUACAUAACUCUUCUUGGACUUCGAUGCCUCAGGCUUGUAUACUUGCCAUCUCAGCUUCAGUAGCCCUUUGUCACACAUAGCAUUCUUCAGCCAGAAAUGCUUCUUCAAGCAAUUCAUAGAUUUCUACCAUGCUUCCCCCAUUUCAUCUCUCUCACAGAAUCGUAGAAUAGUUACGGUUGGAAGGGACCUUAAAGAUCAUGUAGUUCCAACCCCCCUGCCAUGUUCUCAGAGGCCAAAUGCUACAGCUUGUCCAGGUCCCUCUGGAUGACAUUCUGUCCUUCUGGUGUGACAACUGCAUCGCUCAGCUUCGUGUCACCUGCAAACUUGCUGAGGGUGCACUCCAUCUCGCUGUCAAUGUCAUUGAUAAAGAUAUUAAACAGCACUGGGCCCAGUAUGGACCCAUGAGGGACACCAGUUGUCACGGAUCUCCAUCUGGACUUUGAGCCAUUGUUAGCCUCUUUCCAGGCUAACAAAUCUCAGUCUGCACAGCCAUCCCUUGCCGGAAAAGGUGAGUCUGUCCCUGUACUCAUCUUUCGUAGCAUCAUAGGAUUGUAGGAGAGUUUGUGUUGGAAGAGACCUUAAAGUUCACCCAGUUCCAACCCCCCUACUAUGGGCAGGGACACAUCCCACUAGACCAGGCUGCUCAAGGCCGCAUCCAACCUGGUCUUGAACACCUCCAGGGAUGGGGCAUACACGCCUUCCCUGGGCAACCUGUUCCAGUGCUUCACCACCCUCUUUGUUAACCAAUUCCUCUUUAUCUGGACAUUGAGCCACUGACCUCUGAAUACGAUCAUCCAAACAACUUCUUAGGCACUGAACAGUCCAUGCAUCAAAUCCAUAUCUCUCCAAAUUAGAGAUAAGGUUGCUGUGGGGGACCAUGUCCAAGGCCUUACAGAAGUCCAGACAGAUCACACUCGUUGGUUUUUGCAUAUCCACUGCUGUGGUUACCCCAUCAUAGAAAUCGAUUAGGAUGGUCAUACAGGACUUGCACCUGGUGAGGCCAUGCUGGCUGUCACUAAUCACCUCCUUGUCCUCCAUAUGCUUUAGCAUAGCUUCUAGGAGGAUCUGUUCCAUGAUCUUGCCAGACAGAGAGGUGAGGCUGACAGGUCAGUAGUUCCCAGGGUCGUAUUUCCUACCUUUUUUAAAAAUGGACCCGAUGUUGCCCUUCUUCCUGUCACGAGAGACUUCUCCUGACUGCCAUGACUUUUCAAAUAUUGUGGAGAGUGGCUUGGCAACCACAUCAGUGAAUUCCCUCAGGACUCCAGGAUGCAUCUCAUUAGGUCCAAAGAGAUGCUGUUUGAGCUCACUGUCAUUAGGUUCUAGAGCACAGAACCAUCAAAUUCAGAUAGUUGGAACCAGGUUAGAAAAAGAUAGUGGGACAUGAUUAUUCAGGCAACUGCUCUGUGAAAAUCCUUUCCAAGAGAUGCUGCCAUAGUGCAGGUUUGCAUGGUGCAAGGGCCACUGGGAUUAACUAAAUACUUAGAAACACAUGCAAGUGCAGUAAACACCCUGAAGUAGAAAUACCUGCUGUCUGGCAAAGUGUUAUAGAGAAGUGUCAUAUGUACAUGGCCUGUGCAUAUUGUUUCCCAGGUACCCACUUAAGGUGACUGUUGGAAGCAGAAUACAGAAGAAGCUAUCCCUUUGCUCUGGCACAGUGUGAAUGGUCUGGAGUGUGCCACUCUCCAAACAAGCUUCUGCCUCUGUAUGUUCAGGCUGUGUGCUUGUAGCUGAAGGAUGGAGAAGAAGUGUGUCUCACCUUAUGUAGCUACUCAUAUUUAUCUUUGUGAUGUAAACUCAAGAGUUUUCUUUUUAUUGUUUAAUUAUUAUCUGCUGUAAUUUCUCUCACUGCUUCUUGCAAAGACUUCCUUGCUAGAGAGCUUUCUGAAACAACCCAGUACAAAGUAGAAAAAUACACUGAAAAAUCACAUGGAGUGCAUUACUUCUACUUAACCAUAGCCACAUCGGCACCUAAGCUAUUAAUCCACAUGUUAUACUGUAUAACUGAACUCUGCCUCCUGCAAGGAAUAUUUCUCUUCAUGUUAGUGGAAAAAAAAAAAAAAUUAAAUGAGAAAAAAGUUGCUACAAAGAGUUUUGAUUAAAGUCUGUUGAAAAACAUCUUAAGCAGUGUCUCCUGCUCUGACCAAACGUAGGCUUUGGAGAAAUCCCAGAAGUCUGGAAAUUUGAGGAAUAUUGAACACAAGCUUUUAUCUCUAUGGCAGUGCCCUGGAACACCACCACUCAUACAUACCUAGGGAUUGCUUUCACAGCAAGUUUGAAAUCCGUGUAAACCAUGGUUGCUGCUGCCACAUGCUCCCCCAUCUUUCCACAUAGAGCAAAAUUUUCCCUCCUAAUGUCCUUCACCUGUAUGUGUAAAUGGUUAAUAAACCAGUACAAGAUGAUCCAUCGGAGAAAUAACCUGGCAAAGAAAAAUGACUAGUUUUCAGUUACAUCAGUUCCAGAAUGUGCAAGGGAUGGGGGCAAUGCCAGGAAGAUGGUCCUGCUAGUGAGUAACUGGUCUGUGCCUUACUCUCCUCAGUGUGUGCUGACUAAGGUGAAAAGACUGUUUCUUGUACAGUGAAUAUUAUUUUUUAGCAGUUUGUAAAGGUAAAAAACAAAAAGCAAAAAUUAUAGAAAUCUAUUAACUUCAGUAGUUUAGUCAGGAUCACUGUCCUUUGCCUAGCAGAAAGGGGUUUCAGGCGUCUCUUCUGUACCUUCAAGCACUUUUUCUGUUCUCAAAGGCUUUCCUUACACAUUGUCUGACAAAGUUGCCUUUCCUUUCAUCUUCUUCUGUACAUCUGUUCUGCAACAAUGAGAAAACUCAGGAAAACAUCCCUGAUAAGACUUCUGCCUUUUUAAUGACUGUGUUUCUUUCUCUUCCUUCAUAUAGAUUCACGUACUUCAAGACACUGCAAAUCAGCCCUUAGCACUUCUUACUGUCUUAGCUGAGAAACAAAUAUCUUACCUGCUCUGAUCACCAAAAUCCAAGCUAUCCUGGGAAAGGUGACUUUUGAUUAUAAAU